UUGGUACUCCCUCCGUCCGGAAAUACUUGUCAUCAAAAUGGAUAAAAGGGGAUGUAUCUAGACGUAUUUUAGUUUUAGAUACAUCUCUUUUCAUCCAUUUUGAUGACAAGUAUUUCCGGACGGAGGGAGUACUUC
rnacentral:pre_miRNA from 1 species